rnacentral:rRNA from 1 species
ACGGGGGGUGCGAGCGUUGUCCGGAGUCACUGGGCGUAAAGCGCGCGUAGGCGGCUUUGUAAGUCAGAGGUGAAAGCCUGGAGCUCAACUCCAGAACUGCCUUUGAGACUGCAUCGCUUGAAUCCGGGAGAGGUGAGUGGAAUUCCGAGUGUAGAGGUGAAAUUCGUAGAUAUUCGGAAGAACACCAGUGGCGAAGGCGACUUACUGGACACAUAUUGACGCUGAGGUGCGAAAGCGUGGGGAGCAAACAGGA